GAGCAUAAGUAUAAUAUUUAUAUAACCUAUUACUUCGAUUAUUUAUGAAAGUGAUUAUUUAUGUGAUACACUAUGAUAUGUGAACUUCGUAAUGACUCUUUAUCGGGCUUGGAUAUCAAGCGGAAAAUAACCACUGUUCUUCGCUCCUUUCUUAUUGUGCUUCAAAGACAUCUUUAGAGCUCGCUUUUUGAAAUAAACAAGAAUGAUUGUAGUGUAUUAUUAAUCAUUUUCAUAAGUUUACUCCCGUAUAAUUUAAAGCAGCUGACAAUGUAUUAUGAACUAAAAAAGACAGUCGAGAUUGAGAGUGAAUAAAAAACUCGACGUGAGAAGUAUGGAACCAUGGGAUACACCAGGGAACCCUCUAGAAAAGGUGUAUGCAUUCCUUUUAAUAUUUUACAAUUUAUCAAAUAAAAAAUAUUUUCAUUUAACGUAUUUCAACUCCCCCGGAUAGAAUGAAAAUUGAUAACAUCAAUAUAAAUAUUUCAGGAUAUUCGAAGAAAACAAGAUCGUUUAUCAAAAGAAAAAAAAUAUUACUACACAAUUGAUAUUUUAAAUACUUAUGUUAAAAAUAAUGAAGAAAAAUGAGUCAUAAUAUCACUAAAUGUUAUUUACUUACUACUUGAUUACAAUUCCUAUUUAUAAAGUAGUGCUCAACGUAUUUCAAGCAAAUUUUAUAAGAAACAAACCAUGUAACUCAUGGGCUUAAAAGUUCCGGCCUUAACAAAGAAUGCAUGUUUUUUUCCCUUCAAAAUUGCCUAUAUUCAUCAAUAUAAUAUAAUCCCCAUCAAGAGCAACACGA
rnacentral:lncRNA from 1 species